rnacentral:rRNA from 1 species
GAUGAACGCUGGCGGCGUGCCUAAUACAUGCAAGUCGAGCGAACAGACGAGGAGCUUGCUCCUCUGACGUUAGCGGCGGACGGGUGAGUAACACGUGGAUAACCUACCUAUAAGACUGGGAUAACUUCGGGAAACCGGAGCUAAUACCGGAUAAUAUGUUGAAUCGCAUGGUUCAACAGUGAAAGACGGUCUUGCUGUCACUUAUAGAUGGAUCCGCGCCGCAUUAGCUAGUUGGUAAGGUAACGGCUUACCAAGGCAACGAUGCGUAGCCGACCUGAGAGGGUGGUCGGCCACACUGGAACUGAGACACGGUCCAGACUCCUACGGGAGGCAGCAGUAGGGAAUCUUCCGCAAUGGGCGAAAGCCUGACGGAGCAACGCCGCGUGAGUGAAGAAGGUCUUCGGAUCGUAAAACUCUGUUAUUAGGGAAGAACAAAUGUGUAAGUAACUAUGCACGUCUUGACGGUACCUAAUCAGAAAGCCACGGCUAACUACGUG